rnacentral:rRNA from 1 species
CCUACAGCCGCGGUAAUUCCAGCUCCAAUAGCGUAUAUUAAAGUUGCUGCAGUUAAAAAGCUCGUAGUUGGAUCUCGGUAUCACUGUUGCCUGUCAGUAUUUGGGCAGUUAGCUGCUGGAGCAUAGGCGAAGCUUGUGUUUUCAUGGUUGACUAGUUCAAGCUGGCGUGGCGAUGGUGUCACCUUUCAGCCAUGUCUGUGGUGAAAUAUCCACAGGUGUAGAUGAGUGUCAGGCGGUGCCUUGCGAAAGCGGGGUCCGUCGGCUUGUUUGCAUGCCUAUAGAUGCCCUUCAAAAGGUGUCUGCAGGCGGAUGGCACGUUUACUUUGAACAAAUUUGAGUGCUCAAACCAGGCCGAUGUUGCCUGAAAAGUUUUGCAUGGAAUAAUGGAAUAGGACUUCGGUUCUAUUUCGUUGGUUUUCGGAUCCGAAGUAAUGAUCAAAAGAG